CGACCCUCAAGCAUAGCUUGGUGUUGGGUAUGGUCCCGGGGGGACCUACUCGUAACUCGUAGGCGGCCACCGCCCGCACCCCCAGCGUAGCAAGCUCACGCGUUCGCUCGGGGACGGUGUGUCUGGCCCGCCAGGCAAAACCCAAACCCUUCCCAAG
rnacentral:misc_RNA from 1 species